rnacentral:tRNA from 1 species
GCCCCGCUGGCGGAAUUGGUAGACGCGCCGCACUCAAAAUGCGGUUCCUCACGGAGUGCUGGUUCGAUUCCGGCGCGGGGCACCA